GCGUUGGUGGUGCAACGGCUCAGCACACACUCCCGGAAAGAGUGGAAAAUGGGUUCGAAUCCAGGCUGACGCA